UCCCAAACAACUUUGUAAGCUGGGGAGGGAUUUUUGCUGUUAAAGUUUGUGGAGACAGUAUGAACUGGUAAACUGAAGCCCAGUACUUGAAACCUGAAAAAGUCUAUACUUUUAUAUCUCUGAGUAAUUUUAUGAUAACAAAAAGUAAAUGAAUUUAAGUUAAAUGUCAUUGUUCUAUGUAUCCAGAGACAUUUUACCAUAAAUACCUAGUUAAAUCUUGUAUUGUCAGAGAUUACUAAGUAACUGAUAAUUUUUCCUUUCUGAAUCUUUUUCUAGUCAGUCUGGUAACCUGUUUCUUUAGCUCUCUUAAAAGGUACUGCAUGCAUUUGAGGAGAGACCAUUUCAGGAUCUAUCCCAUUUUAAAUAUGUAACAGGUUGUGCUUUUCUAGGAAUUUGUGAAGUUUGUUGUAAAAUACUUUAUAUAAAGUUCCAGGUAUAUGAAGGUUGAUGCUUUAUUCUGAUUGUUGUAAAUUUUUGUAUUUACACAUUUUCAGAGAGUUUCACUUGGUAGAACCUGAUUUAAUUUAGAUGUGAAGUAAUUGAUUCCCUCCACAACCCUUCUUUGUCUUCAGUUUUAUGUGAAUCACUAACUGAAAUAAAUUUUUGUCUUACGUCUCUGUUUUAAAAGCAACUAAAGAAACACAUUUUAGGGGCUAACGCUAGAAUACUUUGCCAUUAUCAGUCUACUGUUCUUUCCUUUCAAGUUGCCUAAACACAGCUGAGUUUGUAAGACGAGCAAAGAAAACAUGACAGUGCUGCCAAGUAGACAGGAAGCUGUAGUGGACCUAACGAGCAGGGGAGGUUGAGCACACCCUCUGUCCAAUCAGCUGUGAGUGCUGUUGCUAUGUGCGCUCUUACUCUGCUGCCUUUGUGAAAAACCUUACACGGAGGGAAGCGGAAUCAGCACCCAACGCUGAACAUUUGUUUUAACCGCUGCAGACAUCUGGAUCCCUCAGUUACUGAUAGUAUAGCUAUUGAUAGCCAGAAGGCAACUUCUUUUAUACAAGGAUUCCAGUAUGGUUUUCAGUGGAAACAAAGGGCUUCACAGAGAAGAUACUCUGGAUGAAUAUUUUGAAUAUGAUGCAGAGGAGUUCUUGGUCUCUUUGGCCUUGCUGAUAACAGAAGGACGAACACCUGAAUGUUCUGUAAAAGGUCGAACAGAAAGCUUUCAUUGCCCUCCAGCACAGUCUUGUUACCCUGUAACUACCAAACAUGAAUGUAGUGACAAGCUGGCCCAGUGCCGCCAAGCCAGACGAACUAGGUCUGAGGUCACAUUGUUGUGGAAGAAUAACCUUCCAAUCAUGGUGGAAAUGAUGCUACUGCCAGACUGCUGCUACAGCGAUGAUGGGCCCACCACAGAGGGAAUUGAUCUAAAUGAUCCUGCAAUUAAGCAAGAUGCAUUAUUAUUAGAAAGAUGGAUCUUGGAGCCAGUUCCUCGACAGAAUGGUGACCGAUUUAUUGAAGAGAAGACGCUUCUGUUGGCUGUCCGCUCAUUUGUGUUUUUUUCUCAAUUAAGUGCAUGGCUGAGUGUUUCUCAUGGUGCUAUUCCACGAAAUAUUCUCUACAGAAUCAGUGCUGCUGAUGUAGACCUACAGUGGAAUUUUUCACAGACUCCAAUUGAGCAUGUGUUUCCUGUUCCCAAUGUUUCUCACAAUGUUGCCUUGAAAGUCAGUGUUCAGUCCUUGCCCAGACAAUCUAAUUAUCCAGUUUUGACCUGCAGUAUUCACACUAAUAUUGGCCUUUAUGAGAAAAGAAUUCAACAACAUAAACUUAAAACUCAUCAGCACCAUAAUCCAAAUGAAGUAGAACAAUGUGGUACAAACAGUUCACAGCGUCUGUGUAGCAAACAAACUUGGACCAUGGCACCUGAAAGUGUAUUACAUGCAAAAAGUGGCCCAAGUCCAGAAUAUACUGCAGCUGUCAAAAAUGUCAAACUGUAUCCAGGCACUGGCAGUAAAUCUGACCAUGGGACAUCUCAAGCCAAUAUUCUAGGCUUUAGUGGUAUAGGCGAUAUAAAAUCACAUGAAACAUCAGUGAGAACUUUAAAAUCAUUUUCAAUGGUUGAUUCCAGUAUCUCUAACCGCCAGAGUUUCUGGCAGUCAGCUGGUGAAACUAACCCUUUAAUAGGCUCUUUAAUUCAGGAGCGGCAAGACAUCAUUGCAAGAAUUGCCCAGCAUUUGAUUCAUUGUGAUCCCAGCACUUCACAUGUUUCUGGACAUCCAUUUAAUACUCGAGAGUCUAGUUCACUCCAUUCAAAACUUUUCGGGGUUUCACAAGAAAAUGAGAAUGUGGGAAAAGGUAAAGAAACUUUCUCCAUGACUUAUGGUAGUCCAGAGUUUACUUCCCCAGAAGACACCAAUGAGGGGAAAAUUCGACUAAAACCAGAAACUCCUCGAAGUGAAACUUGUAUUUCUAAUGACUUUUAUUCUCAUAUGCCUGUUGGAGAGAUUAAUCCUUUGAUAGGCUCUUUACUCCAGGAGCGGCAAGAUGUUAUUGCAAGGAUUGCUCAACACUUGGAGCACAUUGAUCCAACAGCAUCACAUAUCCCCCGGCAGUCAUUCAACAUGCAUGACUCCAGUGCGGUUGCAUCUAAAGUGUUUAGGAGUUCAUAUGAAGACAAAAAUUUGUUGAAGAAAAAUAAGGAUGAGUCCUCAGUUUCCAUUUCUCACACAAAAUGUUCCUUGUUAGGAGACACCAGUGAUGGGAAAAACUUAAUACCUAAUAAAUGUUUUACUUCUUUUAAAAAUAAUAGUAACGAAAAGUGUUCUUUGAAACGUCAAACAAGAAAUCAGUGUCAGAACAAUCCUAGUGAAAUCAUCCAAAGUACGUAUCAGGAGACACAGAACAAAAGUUCUAGUUUAUCGACUUCCUCAAUUUUGUCUCAGCACAAAGAAAAUUACUUAGAUUUGACAAGCAGAUUUAAGGAGCAAGAAAUGAGCAAUGGAAUUGAUAAACAGUAUUCAAAUUGCACCAGUAUUGACAAACAGAUAAUUUGUACAAAUAAGUAUAAGGAAAAAAUAAUAAAUGAGAACUAUAAUCCAAAAUUCUUUGGCAAUCUUCAAUCUGAUCAUUCAAAAAAAAAUGACUCAAAAAUAAAAGUUACUGUGUUGGAAAUGUCUGAAUAUUUGAACAAAUAUGAAAGCAUGUCCUCAAAUAAAGACUCAAAAAGGCCUAAGACAUGUGAGCAAAAUACUCAACUUAAUAGCAUAGAGAAUUAUCUCAAUAAAGAUAAUGAAGGUUUCAAAUGUAAAAAGUCAGACCAAUUAAAAAAUGAACAGGAUAAGAAAGAAGAUCCAACUAAUGAAAAAUCCCAAAACUAUUCUCAGAGAAGAAGUAUAAAAGACUGUUUGUCUACAUGUGAGCAACCAAAAAAUACAGAGGUACUGAGGACUACACUGAAACAUUCAAAUGUGUGGCGAAAACAUAAUUUUCAUUCCUUGGAUGGAACUUCAACUAGAGCCUUUCAUCCUCAAACUGGAUUGCCUCUUCUUUCAAGCCCUGUUCCUCAAAGAAAAACACAAUCAGGUUGCUUUGAUCUGGAUUCUUCAUUACUACAUCUGAAAAGCUUCUCAUCUAGAAGUCCUCGACCAUGUUUAAACAUUGAAGAUGAUCCAGAUAUUCAUGAAAAACCAUUUUUGAGUUCUAGUGCUCCACCUAUAACAAGUCUUAGUCUCCUAGGAAAUUUUGAGGAAUCUGUCUUGAACUAUCGUUUCGAUCCUCUCGGCAUUGUUGAUGGUUUUACUGCCGAGGUAGGGGCAAGCGGUGCUUUCUGCCCCACACAUUUGACUCUUCCAGUUGAAGUGUCAUUCUACAGUGUUUCAGAUGACAAUGCUCCCUCUCCUUAUAUGGGUGUGAUUACUUUAGAGUCCCUUGGUAAAAGGGGUUAUCGAGUACCUCCUUCAGGAACAAUACAAGUGGUAUGUGUUUUAUAGCCUACAAUUGCAAUAAUCAUUCUCUCACAUACAUAUAGAACUUAGCCCUUUCUCCUGCUACUGCUGCUGCAACAACUUUGACCUUAUUUAAUCCUAAUAAGACUGUGGUGAAGAUGUUUGUUGUGAUAUAUGAUUUACGAGAUAUGCCAGCCAAUCAUCAGACAUUCCUACGACAAAGAACUUUUUCUGUACCUGUUAAACAAGAAGUGAAGAGAAGUGUUAAUAGAGAGAACAUCCGACACACAGAAGAACGGUUAUUACGCUACCUCAUACAUCUGAGGUUCCAGAGUUCUAAAUCUGGAAAGAUCUACCUCCAUAGAGAUGUACGGCUCCUGUUCUCUAGAAAGUCAAUGGAGGUUGAUAGCGGUGCUGCAUAUGAACUCAAAUCUUACACUGAAUCGCCAACAAACCCUCAGUUUUCACCAAGAUGUUGAUAAGGAGUGAUGAUUUAAAGUAUUUACUCAGUACCCAAGUUUGCAAGUAAAAAUUAGCAUAUAAUGGAUUGUACCAAAUUAACAAUCAGGAGAGUGGAUCCUCUCCUGUUAUCCUGGACCAGUUUUUAUGAAAGGAUUCCUGAAAUGAAAUCCAUAUAUUCCAUGUAGACUGGAAAAACUCAUGUCCUAAUCCUUUUUGUACUGUUGAAACCACUUCAUUGGACAUGUUGCAAUAGCAAAACCCCCAGUUAGAUUAGUGUUUACACAUUUUAUUUCUCAGUUAUUUAAUAUUUAAUGUUUUCCUUAAUACUCAAGUGAUGUUUGUCUCUAGUGUUCUAAUGUAGCACAAAUCCUAUAUGUAAAAUCAUACUAUGUAUUUUUGACAUUAAUGUUGAAAUCUGAAAUAUAUGCACAAGUCUUUAAUUUUGUGUGAUGUGUUAAGUGCUGUUCAUUUAAGUUAUUGAAAAUGAGAAUAAAAUGUUGAGCUUCUUUAAAAUUAACACACUAUGCAAGCAUGUGUACUUUUUAUAUCUCUCAUGUUUAGUUUUUAUAACACCAUAUCCAGGCUGCUAUCUCACAUAGUAGCCCUUUAACAUAUUGUAUUAGCAGUGCAGUGUGGACUAAGCUGCUUCACAUUCCCUUUGCAAGUUCAGAUCAUCAUGCCCAUUCAUAGUCAGGAUUCCUUAUCCCCAAAACGUUCUAUUUUUCCUUAAUCACUACUAUAGAGUCUUUACAUUAAAUUACUGUCCUAUGCUAGAUAAUUUUCUCAAAUUGUUAAAAGAAUAUGUACUUUGGAAACAAAUUAGUAUUUAUAUUGUAAAUAUAUGCAAAAA